AUUUACGUUUGAUAAUUAUUCUUCUUCCUUUUUUUUAAAGUUUUUUAAAAUUUGAUUUAAAGAUAAGAGACGCUGUUUUUUCUUUUUGGGAAAGUGGUGAGGGUGGCUCAAGGGAUGAAAUCCGACGAUCAUAGAGCGUUUCCAAUUUUUCAUUUCUGUUUUGACUUUUCUGAGUGUUUUCCAUAGUUUUGUCUAAUGAAAUGAG
rnacentral:misc_RNA from 1 species